rnacentral:rRNA from 1 species
UACGUAGGGUGCGAGCGUUAAUCGGAAUUACUGGGCGUAAAGUGUGCGCAGGCGGCCGAGCAAGUCGAGUGUGAAAGCCCCGAGCUUAACUUGGGAACUGCGCUCGAAAACUACUUGGCUAGAGUGUGGCAGAGGGAGGUGGAAUUCCACGUGUAGCGGUGAAAUGCGUAGAGAUGUGGAGGAACACCGAUGGCGAAGGCAGCCUCCUGGGCCAACACUGACGCUCAUGCACGAAAGCGUGGGGAGCAAACAGG